rnacentral:rRNA from 1 species
CAGCAGCCGCGGUAAUACGAAGGGUGCAAGCGUUAAUCGGAAUUACUGGGCGUAAAGCGUGCGCAGGCGGUUUUGUAAGACAGGCGUGAAAUCCCCGGGCUCAACCUGGGAAUGGCGCCUGUGACUGCAAAGCUAGAGUGCGGCAGAGGGGGAUGGAAUUCCGCGUGUAGCAGUGAAAUGCGUAGAUAUGCGGAGGAACACCGAUGGCGAAGGCAAUCCCCUGGGCCUGCACUGACGCUCAUGCACGAAAGCGUGGGGAGCAAACAGGAUUAGAUACCCCCGUAGUCCCUGUCUCUUAUAC